AGAUUGAACGCUGGCGGCGUGCUUAACACAUGCAAGUCGAGCGGUAACGCGGGAGCAAUCCUGGCGACGAGCGGCGAACGGGUGAGUAAUGCUUGGGAAUCUGCCCAUUAGUGGGGAACAACCAGCCGAAAGGUUGGCUAAUACCGCAUACGCCCUACGGGGGAAAGCGGGGGAUCGUAAGACCUCGCGCUAAUGGAUGAGCCCAAGUCGGAUUAGCUUGUUGGUAGGGUAACGGCCUACCAAGGCGACAAUCCGUAGCUGGUCUGAGAGGACGACCAGCCACACUGGGACUGAGACACGGCCCAGACUCCUACGGGAGGCAGCAGUGGGGAAUAUUGGACAAUGGGGGCAACCCUGAUCCAGCGACGCCGCGUGUGUGAAGAAGGCCUGCGGGUUGUAAGCACUUUUAGUGGGGAUGAAAAGCUCAGGGUUAACACCUCUGGGUCUUGACCUAACCACAGAAAAGCACCGGCUAACUCUGUGCCAGCAGCCGC
rnacentral:rRNA from 1 species